UACGUAGGUGGCAAGCGUUGUCCGGAAUUAUUGGGCGUAAAGCGCGCGCAGGCGGUCCUUUAAGUCUGAUGUGAAAGCCCACGGCUCAACCGUGGAGGGUCAUUGGAAACUGGGGGACUUGAGUACAGAAGAGAAGAGUGGAAUUCCACGUGGUAGCGGUGAAAUGCGUAGAGAUGUGGAGGAACACCAGUGGCGAAGGCGACUCUUUGGUCUGUAACUGACCGCUGAGGCGCGAAAGCGUGGGGAGCAAACAGG
rnacentral:rRNA from 1 species